CUACGUAGGGGGCGAGCGUUGUCCGGAAUGAUUGGGCGUAAAGGGCGCGUAGGCGGCCCGGUAAGUCUGGAGUGAAAGUCCUGUUUUUAAGAUGGGAAUUGCUUUGGAUACUGUCGGGCUUGAGUGCAGGAGAGGUAAGUGGAAUUCCCAGUGUAGCGGUGAAAUGCGUAGAGAUUGGGAGGAACACCAGUGGCGAAGGCGACUUACUGGACUGUAACUGACGCUGAGGCGAGAAAGUGUGGGGAGCAAACAGGAUUAGAUACCCUGGUAGUCCACACUGUAAACGAUGAAGGCUAGGUGUAGGGGGUAUCGACCCCUUCUGUGCCGCAGUCAACACAAUAAGCAUUCCGCCUGGGGAGUACGGCCGCAAGGUUGAAACUCAAAUGAAUUGACGGGG
rnacentral:rRNA from 1 species